GUGCUACUUAAAAAGCAUCCAGUUCACACAGUAAAGUGACAUUUGGAAGGGCAUCCAGCGAUAAAAACCUUGCCAAAACUGACUUCACCAGUUCAAUGGUUGGUGCUAGGAAAGGCAUCCAGUUGUCAAAAUCCUGUCAAAAUGCAGGCUUCUACCUGGCUGACUCCUGUUAAACAAUGAUGAUGAUGAUGCAUAUAUAUAUAUGUGUGUGUGUAUGUAUGUAUGUAACUACUUGGACUUUGGGUAUUUGCCUAUUGAUAUGCCGAUCAAAGCAUAUUCACCAUUUGGGCUACCUAAUGUCAUCUACAAUAACGAUAUAAUUUUCGAUGGAUCUACAUCAGGAAAUCCUCAGUGUUUGUUGAGUUUAUAGUUGAAAAAAGAAGCAGAAGAUGGAUUUAGAACGAAUCUUUAUUCCGCACGACAAUGUAUUUUGAUACAUCCUGAAUCUGUCCCAGUGGAUAUUGUGCAUCUAAUUGCAUUACAUCAAUCAAUGCAGGCUCCGUCACUUCAGGUGCUUGGGGUAGAAAAAUAUCCUACUACACAUACUGAGAUAUCCUCGACAUGUUCUGGCUAGUUGUACAUUGGUACACUGAAAGGGCAUCACCAAUAUAUAUAUAUAUAUAUUAUGUAGUUGAAUAGUACAUCCUUGGUUAUGGCCAGUCACAAAUGUUUUCACACCAACUAUCGCACUUACAAUAUAGACAACUCAUCAAAGCUGCUGGCCAAGAGGCACAAAACUUCUUUCUAAUAGAGGUAAAAAUACAGCCUUGGUCAGUAUUUACCUUCAUUAGUAAGGAAGUUAUGUACCUCUGGUCAGGAGGUCUUAUAUGUUGCCUGUAUAACCUAGUGCAAUAAUAGGCAUGAAAUUGAUAGUAACUUUCUGUCUGGCUAUAUCCCAUGAUAUAUAACUGCUAAAAUUUUCCCUUUAGAGUGCUCUUUUUAUCACACUUAAGGACAACUGACUAAUUUUAUAUGUAUGUAUAUAUGUGUGUGUGUAUAUAUAUAUGUGUGUGUUUGUAUUAUAUGUAGUUAUUUUAUUAUGCAAGGAAUUUCGUCCAUACAUCCUUUUCUCCUCUCCCUUCUCCUUGUGUCUUAUUCUUAUAGGAGUCUCCUUAUCAGAUACUCUUCUCUUUUACUUCCCUCGUUGCAAUGAAAAGAAUGACUUAUUUCGUGCAAUGAAAAUAACAGAAAUACAUUUAUAGGCUUGUGUGUGUUCUGUUAUCACAUUCACUUGUGAUGUUUUGGCUAAAUAGACUGGCAACUGUACAUGACAUACAUACAUACACACACACACAUAUGCAUAUAUAUAUACACAUUAUAUUUGUGGGUUAACAAGGCUACCAUUGGUUUCAUACGCAGAGAAAUUUCUAAGCAAUUCUCAAACCUGUCUCAUGGAUGUUCAUUCUUGUCUGCAUCUUGAAGGCAUUCUUCUUCUUCAAGAUGGAAGGCUUGGUCAUUGCUGGGAAAUUUCUCUCUGCAUGAAACCAGUGGUAGCCUUGUUGACUCACCAAGUUUUCUUAUAUAGUUAGUCACGUCUGUCUUUGUUACAACACAUGCACAUUUCUGCUGCAAGCUGAUGCACACUGCAAAUUGUGCAUCUUGGUGCUAAUUACCAGUCCUGCUUCAUCAGGGUCAAAUUUAACUGUUGGAUGGAUAUCAUCUGAGUAUAGUAUAAAUUCAACCAAAAUUGUUCUUUUGUGUGGUAUUAGCAUGACUAAAAAUAGUCAUAUAUCUCUUGAACUUUUAGAGGUAUAUCUACCUAUACACCUAUCUAUAGAUAGAUAGAUAGGUAGAUAGAUAUAGAUAGAUAGAUAGAUAGAUAUACAUAUAUAGAUAGAUAGAUACAUACAUACAUACAUACAUACAUACAUACAUAGACAGACAUGAGAGAUAGAUUAGCUGAGCGCAACAGAUGGGUCUAAGAUCAAUUUUACACACACACACAUAUAGACACAUAUAGAGAGAAGAGAGAGAGAGAGAGAGAAAGAUAGAGAUAGAUAGAUAGACAUGAGAGAUAGAUGGCCUGAGCGUAACAGAUGGGUCUAAUUUUACACACACAAACACAAACACACACACACACACACACACAUAUAGACACACACAUACGCACAUUAUGCUAUCUUUUGCUACUUUCGGCACCGAAUAACAAAAUGCUUCAUCACGGUGGUGCUGAAGAGAAUUUGUUUGUCUUAGAAUCUAACUAAUCUGGAGCGGAUUGUUAAACACCAGACUGAAAAGUGCAAAACUGAAAUUUGCUUUCAGAGUUCGGGAUGUAAUCUGACCAUAAGCUGGACCGGAUCCGUUGAUGGUCGCGCUAAUGAUCCUUGGCAUUCUGUUGCCUUCAUCCUUCAGCAGUUGAAAAAAAAGUACCAGAAGUUUUGAUAUAGAUACCCACCAAAGUUACUGAAUCAAUUCUGAAAUUAAAAGUCGAACCGGAAUGGUUCCAUUCGUAAAUGUAGAAUUAAAAACUGGGGUCGGAUUUGGUUCCUGUUGUUUUCGUCCCCUUUAAGACUUCAAACUAACACAAGAAAGAUUUCAGAUAAGUGCUGGAAGUGACCAAGCCUCAUCCUCCUCCUCCUAUAUCUGUGUCUGUAUAUGAUCGGACUUUUACCCAAAAUCUGUGCUUUUGUUUGGCUCUGAAACAUGGAGAGCCACCUGCAGCAACUACAAGAAGAUCCAGACCUUCAUCAACAAAUGUCUCCGGCAGAUCCUCCAUCUGAAGUGGUUCGACAGAGUGCCAAACACUGACCUGUGGGAAAGAGCCAACCAAGAGUCCAUACAUGUUCAGAUUAGACGAAGGAAAUGGAGAUGGAUCGGAUACACACUGCGGAAAGAACCCUCAAAUGUGACACCAUAAGCACUUGACUGGAACCCGCAGGGGAAAAGGAAGCGAGGACGCCCCAAGCAGAGCAUUUUGGACGAGCUUAGGACCACCGGCCUGACAUGGGAAGCAGCCAAGAAACACACCAAUGACCGCAAAAAGUGGAAAACAACUGUUGAAGCCCUAUGCUCCACAAGGGGCAAAAAGGAUUAAGAAGAAGAAGAAUAUGAUCGAACGGAGUCAUUAUUGGUUGUUCAGCACCGCCACCGCCGCUAUUGCUGCUGCCGCCGGUGCCGCUACCACCGUCACCUCCACUUGGUGUCGGGUGCCACCAAGUAGACCUCUAUGAAUUAUUAAGACGAAUGACAUGAUUCUAAAAGUAUGUCCUUCGAAAGAUCUCUGGGGUAACGUUAUUCGACUGGGUUCGUAGCUCGGAGACCAGGAAGUCUGGCUAGGUCGACGUUUUAUUUCUCUGCAUCCAGAGAUAACGGCUCCAGUUCUACGGACGUAUGAUGGAAAUGUCACAAACGAAGAAUCACAAGGCGGAUCCUUCAAGUCGAGCCAACCGACAGAAGACUUACGGGAAGACCAAGAACCAGAUGGUUGGAUAAUAUUCAUAGUCUCAAGGCGGUGAGCUAAGAGAAUCGGUGGCACGCCGGGCGAAAAACUUAGCGGCAUUUCAUCCGUCUUUACGAUCUGAGUUCAAAUUCCACCGAGGUCGACUUUAUCUUUUAUCCUUUCGGGGUCGAUAAAAUAGGUACCAGUUGAACAUUGGGGUCAAUGUAGUCGACUUACACCCUGCCUCGAAAUUGCUGGCCUUGUGCCAAAAUUUGACACCAAUACACAGUCUCAGCUAGUGACGCUAGAGAAUCCAGUUGGAAAGUAUAAAGACAGUCGCUACUGUUAGGAUCUUAUAGAAGAGGUUUCUGAACACUCUGCCCCAACCCACGACCCUUAUAGGAUUAAUGGGCAGAGAAAAUGGAUGGAUGGGUUGAGAAGAUUUGAACUAUGGUUGUACAGCUCUGGAUAUGCCAUCUCCAGUUGAAAGUGAUGUGACAUUCAAUGAUGGUUUAUGAUCAUAAUGAUGCAGUUUAGAGACGUGGACACGUUCUACUCUGUUCUCUGUUAUUUGUCCGCUGUCCGAUGUGGUUCUUUCUGUGUCUCAGGAGAUCCAGAGGUGGUGGUCAGAACGUGACAGCUUCUUUAUAAGAGAUGCUUAUCCCAGCACCGGGUUUGGCGCUAAUGACGCUAUUGAUGGGCGCUCUUGACUAAAACGUCAUGUUCGAACACAUACGAGUGCUCUCUCUCUCUCUCCCCUCUCUCUCCCCCCCUCUCUCUCUCUCUCUCUCUCUCUCACACACACACACAUAAACACGCACACACACACACACACACAUAUACACUCAUAUACCUACAUAUGUUUAUACAUAUAUACAUACAUAUGAGCAUAUGCGUAUUCAAAAUGUUUCUGUAAACGAAUUUAAAAGAUAUAUGAAGACACACACACACACACACACACACACACACACACAUACACACAUUACACACAUUACACGCACACAAUGGAGGGUGGAUGAAAGUGCAGAAGCGACUUAGUGAUAACCACGGAACAGACUCAACCCCCACAAUGAGUGGUUCCCACAAAAGGCUUUAAUGACUAUGACAAAAUCCACUCAGGUCAGUGAAUCGGCUGAGAAUUGUCACGUGUCCAGUACUGAAUAGAGGACAAUUGCUCUGAAUGUGUGUGUGUGUGUGUGUGUGUUUAAGCAAUGUUACUUGUUAGGUGAACGGGUCAAUAACGCAUGCAUGCUGUAUUACAAAUGACGUAAUUGUCACGCGCACGCACCUUACUGGUUAACUUCAUGCGCAUACACACUAAUUAAGGCGGCGCGCUGGCAGAAUCGUAAGAAUGUUGCUAAAAAUGCUUUCUGAUAUUAUUUUAUGUUCUGAGUUCAAAUACCUGCCAAGUUCAACUUAGCUUUUCGUCCUUCCGGGGCCGAUAAAAUGAAGUACCUGUCAAGCACUGGCGUCAAUUGUAUCGAUUUAUCCCUUGUCCAGUUUGACCAUUCUUUCUGUCCGGUCUUUGUUUUAGCCACAAGGGCAGCAAAACACAAAAUGUGUGGUGUGUGUGUGUUUAAAUACAUGUGUGUACAUAUUUACAAACACACUUAGACAUACAUAUAUAUUUUCAUAUCUAUACAC
rnacentral:lncRNA from 1 species